rnacentral:rRNA from 1 species
UACGGAGGGAGCUAGCGUUGUUCGGAAUUACUGGGCGUAAAGAGCUCGUAGGUGGUUUGUCGCGUUGUCCGUGAAAACUCACAGCUCAACUGUGGGCGUGCGGGCGAUACGGGCAGACUGGAGUACUGCAGGGGAGACUGGAAUUCCUGGUGUAGCGGUGGAAUGCGCAGAUAUCAGGAGGAACACCGGUGGCGAAGGCGGGUCUCUGGGCAGUAACUGACGCUGAGGAGCGAAAGCGUGGGGAGCGAACAGG